rnacentral:rRNA from 1 species
AGAGUUUGAUCCUGGCUCAGAAUCAACGCUGGCGGCGUGCCUAACACAUGCAAGUCGAACGAGAAAGUGGAGCAAUCCAUGAGUACAGUGGCGACCGGGUGAGUAACACGUGACUAACCUACCUCCGAGUGGGGAAUAACUCCGGGAAACCGGGGCUAAUACCGCAUAACAUCGCAAGAUCAAAGCAGCAAUGCGCUUGGAGAGGGGGUCGCGGCUGAUUAGCUAGUUGGCGGGGUAACGGCCCACCAAGGCGAAGAUCGGUAUCCGGCCUGAGAGGGCGCACGGACACACUGGAACUGAAACACGGUCCAGACUCCUACGGGAGGCAGCAGUGGGGAAUUUUGCGCAAUGGGGGAAACCCUGACGCAGCAACGCCGCGUGGAGGAUGAAGCCCUUUGGGGCGUAAACUCCUUUCGACUCGGACGAUAAUGACGGUACGAGUGGAAGAAGCACCGGCUAACUCUGUGCCAGCAGCCGCGGUAAUACAGAGGGUGCAAGCGUUGUUCGGAAUUAUUGGGCGUAAAGGGCGCGUAGGCGGUGCGGUAAGUCACCUGUGAAAUCUCCUGGCUU